rnacentral:rRNA from 1 species
UACGUAGGCAGCGAGCGUUGUUCGGAGUUACUGGGCGUAAAGGGUGUGUAGGCGGUUUUCUAAGUUUGGUGUGAAAUCUCCCGGCUCAACCGGGAGGGUGCGCCGAAAACUGGGAGACUAGAGUGCGGGAUGGGAGAGUAGAAUUCCUGGUGUAGCGGUGAAAUGCGUAGAUAUCAGGAGGAACACCAAUGGCGAAGGCAGCUCGCUGGAACGGUACUGACGCUGAGGCGCGAAAGCGUGGGGAGCGAACAGG